CGGGGCGUAGCGCAGUCCGGUAGCGCGCCUGCUUUGGGAGCAGGAGGCCACCAGUUCGAAUCUGGUCGCCCCGA
rnacentral:tRNA from 1 species